CCUACGGGUGGCUGCAGUGGGGAAUAUUGGACAAUGGGCGAAAGCCUGAUCCAGCCAUGCCGCGUGUGUGAAGAAGGCCUUCGGGUUGUAAAGCACUUUCAGUGGGGAAGAAAGCCUUGGGGCUAAUACCCUCGAGGAAGGACAUCACCCACAGAAGAAGCACCGGCUAACUCCGUGCCAGCAGCCGCGGUAAUACGGAGGGUGCGAGCGUUAAUCGGAAUUACUGGGCGUAAAGCGCGCGUAGGCGGUCUGAUAAGCCGGUUGUGAAAGCCCCGGGCUCAACCUGGGAACGGCAUCCGGAACUGUCAGGCUAGAGUGCAGGAGAGGAAGGUAGAAUUCCCGGUGUAGCGGUGAAAUGCGUAGAGAUCGGGAGGAAUACCAGUGGCGAAGGCAGCCUUCUGGACUGACACUGACGCUGAGGUGCGAAAGCGUGGGUAGCAAACAGGAUUAGAUACCCCUGUAGUC
rnacentral:rRNA from 1 species